UAAAACUUGGAACAUAUUGAAAUAUAAUCUUCUCUACCAAGGGUUUUCUUUGGCAAAGCACUAGUUUCUUCCCAGUCGAAGCUUCUCUGGUGAAGAUUCUUCUCCGGCGAAGGCGACUCCUCCAGCAAAGGCUUCUCAUCUGGCAAUAUCUUCUGCUCCGGCGAAAUCGAUCUUUUUCUCCAGCAAAUUAGUCUUCUUGCUCUUUGCAUCUACAGGAAAAAAACCAAGGGAAAUGUAUCACUUAAGGAGCUCUUUGUGGAAACAAGAGCAAGGAAACCCGGCCGCUCAUACAAGGAGUCAAAUGAAAACACAACUAGUAAAAUUGUUGAAAUGGAGGAAAUUGAAACACAAAUCCGCGCGGAUGAUAGUCAGCCCGUUGAUGUAUAUUCAGCCGUUAUGGAUCCAGAACAUCCGAGACGUCUAAGACUAUAUGGACGGGGGGUUACAAAGACUUCUUUGAAAGGAAAAGAUGAAAAUUUUGAACCAACUUCAAAUGCCACGAAUGAUGUAGUGCAACAAAUGCAAGAAAAGAUCCAAAAAUGGAGAAACAAAAGAGAACUAUGCGAGCAGAAGUUACUGCCGAAGUUACUGCAGAAGUUACUGCACACGUAAUUGCACAACUCUAACAUGCAAGAUUAAUUAGUCCAGAAAUGCUAGCAGCAUUGUGUGUUCCUUCACCGGGAGAAGUUACGUCUGCACCACAAGCAACUUAUCAGAUUACCCGUCGGCUAUCUACAGAUAACAACAAUUAGUGUCACUUCUUCUCUGUUGCGACCCUUUUUUCUUUCUCUUCUUAGUUCCUCUGUUGCCUCUUUUCUGUUGCUCUUUUUUUCUGAUUCUUUUUCUACUUUGGACCAUGGUUUUAGAUAGUGCACUGUUAAUACCCGAGUUUGCUCUUCAGUUAUGACCAACUUACUAGCUUUUGUA